AAAAAACACAGAGCUCGAUUGGACGAGUAGCUGUACAGCAUACUUGCAAUAAAAUUGGAUUACUCAUGGAUCUUGCUAUGGGACAAUCCUUACAUCAACAAAGUGCUAAAGGCUGUGGUGGCAAUUCAUCAGAUGCUGUAGUGAUCAAACACUGUCAGGCACCUUCGUUAUCCCAAUGGCGUAAAGGAUUCGAGGUUACCAGCAACUGUAGUCACAUUAACCAUUACACACCUGUAGCUGAAUGGGGCAGCCAAGGAUUCACUGACAACAUUGGAGUACUGACGCUUUGUCACAGUGGUGUAAUUGA